rnacentral:rRNA from 1 species
GAUCAGCCGCCGUUUUCGGUGGUGCACUCGCCGGCGAUCAGGCCAGCAUCGAUUUGGGCGGUCGGACAACGGCCGCGGGAACGUAGCUUCCUUCGGGGAGACCUUAUAGCCCGCGGUGCCWUGCGGCCAGCCCGGAUCGAGGACCGCGCUUCGGCAAGGAUGCUGGCGUAAUGGUUGCAAGCGACCCGUCUUGAAACACGGACCAAGGAGUCUAACAUCUAUGCGAGUGUUUGGGUGUUAAACCCAUGCGCGUAAUGAAAGUGAACGGAGGUGAGAACCCGCGAGGGCGCAUCAUCGACCGAUCCUGAUGUCUUCGGAUGGAUUUGAGUACGAGCAUAGCUGUUGGGACCCGAAAGAUGGUGAACUAUGCCUGAAUAGGGUGAAGCCAGAGGAAACUCUGGUGGAGGCUCAAAAAAAAAAGGCCCCGCGGGCUAUAAGGUCUCCCCGAAGGAAGCUACGUUCCCGCGGCCGUUGUCCGACCGCCCAAAUCGA